rnacentral:lncRNA from 1 species
AUGCACAGAGAUAGUCCCACUCUCUCGGCAUUGGAAGCCUGGGUCCAGUGGCAUGAAAAAUCGUUACACCUGGAGACUUCCUCAGCUGCAUUGGAUGGCCAUGUUGUCCUUUGUGCUCCAACACGCCCUAAGCACUCCACAGUGCUUUGCUGCGUCGCCCUCUCAGCCGUUGAACCUUCUUAUUGGUUUCUUCCGUCUGUUCAGCCGAAGCAGUCUUCACAUGCUGGAUUUCAGGAUCACUCUCAUCACCUGCAUAAAAGAAUUAUAACUUCACAUUCACUGAGCCAUAAAGUGUUCGUCUCUGUUUUCUAAAAUUAACCACUUUGAGAAAAGAGUUACCAGAAUAAAAGACAUCAUUAAAGACA